GGAAGGAUCAUUAACACGUCCCAACGUAUAAACCAAACCGCGAACCUGUAUUUCCCAUGCGAAGCUUAAAAUGUGAGCUUUGGAGCGGCAGCUUUGGUGACAUCUCGUAUUGAUCUCAAUAAUAUGAUGAUGGUCCUCCAGCUUUGUUUCGCAUGGCAUUUAACCUUUCCAGUACUGAGCUCGUGAUGUGAAUCGAGUCUUUUACGUUGAGCUCCUUGAUUGGAGUUCCGAAUCGAAAGCUCGUGAACGUUUGAGAUGCAGUAAUGGGAAGCUUUCCAUCACCCGGAAAUUCACCUUUAACCAAUGUAUUAAAUUUACUGAUAUAGGCCUAAGUGAAAGCUUGGCUUAAUAAAAAUAAUGUACAACUCUUAGCAAUGGAUAUCUCGGCUCUCGUAACGAUGAAGAACGCAGCAAACUGCGAUACGUAAUGUGAAUUGCAGAAUUCAGUGAAUCAUCAAAUCUUUGAACGCAAAUGGCGCUUUCGGGUUAGUCCUGGGAGCAUACCUCUCUGAGUAUCGGUUCCAUCUAUCUCAGUCAGCGUGCUGUGAAUAACAGUGCCGGACUGGACAAUGAGAAUCACAGCUGUGGUAUACCCGCGGUAUCUGUGUUUCUUGAAAUUCAUCUGGUUUAGGACUCCUAGUUUCUGGCUUCCGAUUGAUUAACCUGGAUCCCGUGCCACAUGAAGCCUAUUAUUAAUAGGUGGAAGUGUGUGCUGGUUGAGCCGGUUUCUAAAUCAGAGGUCAUAGCCUGUUUUACUGAAAUGGGAUUAACAUGUUUUGCCUGUUUGUUGACUUGGUGGUGACGUGGAUAAAACUAUCUCACGGUUAUCAUCAUUGGUAAAGUGAAGCGUUUAUCGUGGAUAAACUUUACCUGUGAUGUUCAUCUCGUAUGGAGAGUUGAAGCGUCGCCGCUAGUCAAGAACAGGUUUUAUUGGUGAUCUCAUGAGUUAACAGUUCCGCUAGUGACGUGGAUAAAAAUGCCCCUAAUAGGGUAUUUGAAACGUCUGCUGGUGUCGAACCGUUUAAAUCUCGCAAUGUGGACAGUGUGAAAGACUAGUGUAGUAUCCUUUGAACGUAUCGGGUUGAAGUUCAACUUAAUCUAUGAAUUAGAUCUCAGAUGAGGUAGGAAGACCCCCUGAAUUUAAGCAUAUUAAUAAGGGGAGGAAAAGAAACUAACAAGGAUUCCCCCAGUAACGGCGAGUGAAGCGGGAAUAGCUCAAGCUUAAAAUCGGGAUCCUAAGCGGGUUCUCGAGUUUGUGGCCUAGAGACGUGUUAUCAGGCGUGGCCCAGGUAUAAAUCUUUUGGAAAAAGGUAUCGUGGAGGGUGAGAAUCCCGUCUAUGACUUGGAGUUCGCGUCCGUACGAUGCAUGUUCUAAGAGUCGAGUUGUUUGGGAUUGCAGCUCUAAAUGGGUGGUAAAUUUCAUCUAAAGCUAAAUAUCGACGAGAGACCGAUAGCGCACAAGUACCGUGAGGGAAAGAUGAAAAGAACUUUGAAAAGAGAGUUAAAAAGUGCUUGAAAUUGUUAAGAGAGAAGCGCUGUAAGUCAGUCUUUACUCGUGAUCAUUUUUUCCAUCUGCUCUCUGGCGGUGCUGCGGACUGGAGCGAAAGCCUGGUCGGGUGCUGUAAGGCUGAGUGGGUGAGUCCUGUGGUUGCGAGUGUGUCAGAAUCGAUUCGGCUUGCGGGAGAAAACUAUGGGGAAGGUAGGGCGCUUCGGCGCCUGUUAUAGCCCUGUAGCCAUACCGUGGGCUGGAUCGAGGUCUAAAACGUGCGCCGCAAGGUUUUGGUACCCUGUGCUUGCUGGGUUAUUGCCGUGAAGAACAAUGUUCUUCUGGUUGAGAAGCUUGGUAGUGCGUGGGAUGUACCAUACGCAUGUUCGGGAUUCUGGCGAAAUGGCUUACAUCGACCCGUCUUGAAACACGGACCAAGGAGUCUAACAUAUAUGCGAGUCCUAGGGUGGUAAAACUCUUGGGCGCAAUGAAAUUGAAUGUAGCUUCGGCUACUGUGAUAGGAAUCUCGUAAGGGAGGCACUAUCGACCGAUCGUCACUUGUGAUAGAUUUGAGUUAGAGCAUAUCUGUUGGGACCCGAAAGAUGGUGAUCUAUGCCUGAAACAGGGCGAAGCCAGGGGAAACUCUGGUGGAGGCUCGUAGCGAUACUGACGUGCAAAUCGUUCGUCUGAUUUGGGUAUAGGGGCGAAAGACUAAUCGAACCAUUUAGUAGCUGGUUCCCUC
rnacentral:misc_RNA from 1 species